UUUGUUGUGUUUUAUCUUGUUUUGAUAACUGUAAAUAAAAAUAUAACUAAAAAUAAUUAGAUUAUAAAUAAUGGUGGAAAAACUAGCCCAAGAUUAUUCAAAAUACUUUCAUAAUUGUAAUGUUGAAAAAGAGAUCAAUCCACUUUGCUUGAGCAUUGAGGAAACCCUGACUAGACUUGAUGAAUUCGAAACUCUCCUCACAAAUGUUAAAAUAGAAACAAAUUCAACCAUGGAGAACCAUGUGGUCCCACUUCUUGCCUUCCAACAAAACUUUCAAACCCUUUGCGAACGAAUUGAUAAUCUCGAAAAAUUUGUCGAUGUUGUAAAUGAGAAUGUUAAUUCAGUUGAAAGAUCAAUUGAUAUAGCUGAAGAGGAGCUCGGUGUCACAGAUUAUAGUUUAAAAGGUCUUCUGUUUAAGCCAUUAUUUUCAAGAUCCAAAAACAUUGAUGGCGAGAGUAGAACUAAUUUGAAAGACGAUGAAUUUCAAAAAGUUGAAAUUUUCAAAACGUCUCAAUACUUUCCAACGAGCGAAGAGCCAACGUCUGACUAACAUCAACAAAUAAAUAAAAUCAAGUAAAUCGGUACCAGCGGUCUUUCCACAAAAGAAAAACAAGGUUUAUGCUCUCAAUUCUUUAGUAUCAUAUCUGUCAACCGGGAUGGAUGGAUCUUGGAUCAUUAAAAGUCUAAUGCUCAAAUAAAUCUUCACUUUUUCUAAGGACAACUUGGAACUACUGUCGAUCCAUAAGUUUGGGGCCUAUUAGUUUGAAGUUAGAAGUUUUCCAAUUGAUCACUGUAAUUUAAUAUGGAACCAAGGUACGAUGAGGUAUGAACUGACCACAGAUUGCAUAAAAGUAAAACAAGCAAUUUACUUUUCAGAAUGUUUGACCAGAUAAUCGAUAUCAAUACAGGAUCAGAUUUAGAUCGAAGGAAAGUCAUGAAGUUCAAAAGCUGGUUGAGAACUGAACUAGGAAAAAGUUACCAUUGCGAGUGUGGUGUGAUUCAACUGCACAUCAUACAGCAUGGGGUAGUAAAAUUCAUGGCCCAGUUCGGGUCAAUACAAUACACUAGAUGGAACUAAAGCGGCUGUUUAAUGAUGUGUCACUGGUCGAAUUAAAGGAACGAAUUUGAAAACAACGGUCUGUAAAUCGAGCUAUCUGGAAAAUAAAUUUGGUUAUAGCAAUGACGCAAAAGAUUUCUGCACAGAAAAACACAACAAAACUGAUGAAAUGCCACAAAAUCGAGGCGAAUUAUAAAAUUGUAUAUAAAAAAGCAAAAAAAAAAAAAAACAAAACAUCCACAACAA